AGCGAACGCUGGCGGCAGGCCUAACACAUGCAAGUCGAACGAAGUCUUCGGACUUAGUGGCGGACGGGUGAGUAACACGUGGGAACGUGCCUUUAGGUUCGGAAUAACUCAGGGAAACUUGUGCUAAUACCGAAUGUGCCCUUCGGGGGAAAGAUUUAUCACCUUUAGAGCGGCCCGCGUCUGAUUAGCUAGUUGGUGGGGUAAUGGCCCACCAAGGCUACGAUCAGUAGCUGGUCUGAGAGGAUGACCAGCCACAUUGGGACUGAGACACAGCCCAAACUCCUACGGGAGGCAGCAGUGGGGAAUCUUGCGCAAUGGGCGAAAGCCUGACGCAGCCAUGCCGCGUGGAUGAUGAAGGUCUUAGGGUUGUAAAAUCCUUUCACCGGUGAAGAUAAUGACUGUAGCCGGAGAAGAAGCCCCGGCUAACUUCGUGCCAGCCGCCGCGGUAACAC
rnacentral:rRNA from 1 species